GACGAACGCUGGCGGCGUGCUUAACACAUGCAAGUCGAGCGGUAAGGCCCUUUCGGGGGUACGACGAGCGGCGAACGGGUGAGUAACACGUGGGUGACCUGCCCUCAGCUCUGGGAUAAGCCUGGGAAACCGGGUCUAAUACCGGAUAUGACUCCAUGACGCAUGUUGUGGGGUGGAAAGCCUUGUGCGGCUGAGGAUGGGCCCGCGGCCUAAUCAGCUUGUUGGUGGGGUGAUGGCCUACCAAAGGCAACGACGGGUAGCCGGCCUGAGAGGGCGACCGGCCACACUGGGACUGAGACACGGCCCAGACUCCACGGGAGGCA
rnacentral:rRNA from 1 species